AGUGAACGCUGGCGGUAGGCCUAACACAUGCAAGUCGAACGGCAGCACAGGAGAGCUUGCUCUCUGGGUGGCGAGUGGCGGACGGGUGAGGAAUACAUCGGAAUCUACUUUUUCGUGGGGGAUAACGUAGGGAAACUUACGCUAAUACCGCAUACGACCUACGGGUGAAAGCAGGGGACCUUCGGGCCUUGCGCGAUUGAAUGAGCCGAUGUCGGAUUAGCUAGUUGGCGGGGUAGAGGCCCACCAAGGCGACGAUCCGUAGCUGGUCUGAGAGGAUGAUCAGCCACACUGGAACUGAGACACGGUCCAGACUCCUACGGGAGGCAGCAGUGGGGAAUAUUGGACAAUGGGCGCAAGCCUGAUCCAGCCAUACCGCGUGGGUGAAGAAGGCCUUCGGGUUGUAAAGCCCUUUUGUUGGGAAAGAAAAGCAGCCAGUUAAUACCUGGUUGUUCUGACGGUACCCAAAGAAUAAGCACCGGCUAACUUCGUGCCAGCCGCCGCGGUAA
rnacentral:rRNA from 1 species